UGCUUAAAGGGUCCGUAGCUGGAUAUACAAGUCCCUUGAGAAAUCCGCCGGCUUAACCGGUGGGCGUUCAGGGGAAACUGUAUUUCUAGGGACCGGGAGAGGUGAGAGGUACUGCCGGGGUAGGAGUGAAAUCCUGUAAUCCCGGUGGGACCACCUAUGGCGAAGGCAUCUCACCAGAACGGGUCCGACAGUGAGGGACGAAAGCUGGGGGAGCAAACCGGAUUAGAUACCCGGGUAGUCCCAGCUGUAAACGAUGCGCGUUAGGUGUGUCAGUGACCACGUGUCACUGAGGUGCCGAAGGGAAACCGUGAAACGCGCCGCCUGGGGAGUACGGUCGCAAGGCUGAAACUUAAAGGAAUUGGCGGGGGAGCACCACAACGGGUGGAGCCUGCGGUUUAAUUGGAGUCAACGCCGGAAAUCUCACCGGGAGCGACAGCAGUGUGAAGGCCAGAUUAAAGGUCUUGCCAGACGAGCUGAGAGGAGGUGCAUGGCCGUCGCCAGUUCGUGCCGUGAGGUGUCCUGUUAAGUCAGGCAACGAUCGAGACCCACGUCCUCUGUUGCUACUAGCCUUGUGCUGGGCACACUGAGGAGACCGCCACUGAUAAAGUGGAGGAAGGAGCGGGCCACGGCAGGUCAGUAUGCCCCGAAUCUCCCGGGCCACACGCGAGCUGCAAUGGCAGGUACAAUGAGUUCCGACCUCGAAAGGGGAAGGCAAUCUCGAAAGCCUGCCGUAGUUGGGAUCGAAGGCUGAAACCCGCCUUCGUGAACAUGGAAUCCCUAGUAAUCGCGCGUCAUCAGCGCGCGGUGAAUACGUCCCUGCUCCUUGCACUCACCCCCCGU
rnacentral:rRNA from 1 species